GGUGUUUCUUCACUUCACCCAGAAACUGUGAACUCCUGACGGCGAUGCUCCGCUCAGCCUCCUCUUCAGAAGCCCACCGUGGAUCCAAGCCUUGCUCCUGGUGCUGAAGAAAUCCCUGCCGAGUGACCAAUUCAUGGAUCUAUUUGCAAUUUUGAUGGCAGAGGAAGUUACAACAUCUAGGAAAGAGGACAAUCCAGAUGGACUUCAGCUGUGAAGAACAAGAGGAGGCAGUGGAAAGGUGGGGAGGCUGGAUGUCCGAAUACCCGAGCCUCUCGGCGACAAAUGUGAUCUUUUAUCAAUACAAAGCAUGAUGCUUUUGUCCUCCCC